rnacentral:rRNA from 1 species
GAUGAACGCUGGCGGCGUGCCUAAUACAUGCAAGUCGAGCGAACGGACGAGAAGCUUGCUUCUCUGAUGUUAGCGGCGGACGGGUGAGUAACACGUGGAUAACCUACCUAUAAAACUGGGAUAACUUCGGGAAACCGGAGCUAAUACCGGAUAAUAUUUUGAACCGCAUGGUUCAAAAGUGAAAGACGGUCUUGCUGUCACUUAUAGAUGGAUCCGCGCUGCAUUAGCUAGUUGGUAAGGUAACGGCUUACCAAGGCAACGAUGCAUAGCCGACCUGAGAGGGUGAUCGGCCAAACUGGAACUGAGACACGGUCCAGACUCCUACGGGAGGCAGCAGUAGGGAAUCCUCCGCAAUGGGCGAAAGCCUGACGGAGCAACGCCGCGUGAGUGAUGAAGGUCUUCGGAUCGUAAAACUCUGUUAUUAGGGAAGAACAUAUGUGUAAGUAACUGUGCACAUCUUGACGGUACCUAAUCAGAAAGCCACGGCUAACUACGUG